rnacentral:rRNA from 1 species
AUGAACGCUGGCGGCGUGCCUAAUACAUGCAAGUCGAGCGAACAGACGAGGAGCUUGCUCCUCUGACGUUAGCGGCGGACGGGGGAGUAACACGUGGAUAACCUACCUAUAAGACUGGGAUAACUUCGGGAAACCGGAGCUAAUACCGGAUAAUAUAUUGAACCGCAUGGUUCAAUAGUGAAAGACGGUUUUGCCGUCACUUAUAGAUGGAUCCGCGCCGCAUUAGCUAGUUGGUAAGGUAACGGCUUACCAAGGCAACGAUGCGUAGCCGACCUGAGAGGGUGACCGGCCACACUGGAACUGAGACACGGUCCAGACUCCUACGGGAGGCAGCAGUAGGGAAUCUUCCGCAAUGGGCGAAAGCCUGACGGAGCAACGCCGCGUGAGUGAUGAAGGUCUUCGGAUCGUAAAACUCUGUUAUUAGGGAAGAACAAAUGUGUAAGUAACUAUGCACGUCUUGACGGUACCUAAUCAGAAAGCCACGGCUAACUACGUG